AUUGAACGCUGGCGGCAGGCUUAACACAUGCAAGUCGAGCGGGGUGAUGGUGCUUGCACUAUCACUUAGCGGCGGACGGGUGAGUAAUGCUUAGGAAUCUGCCUAUUAGUGGGGGACAACAUCUCGAAAGGGAUGCUAAUACCGCAUACGUCCUACGGGAGAAAGCAGGGGAUCACUUGUGACCUUGCGCUAAUAGAUGAGCCUAAGUCGGAUUAGCUAGUUGGUGGGGUAAAGGCCUACCAAGGCGACGAUCUGUAGCGGGUCUGAGAGGAGGAUUCGCCACACUGGGAGUGAGACACGGCCCAGACUCCUACGGGAGGCAGCAGUGGGGAAUAUUGGACAAUGGGGGGAACCCUGAUCCAGCCAUGCCGCGUGUGUGAAGAAGGCCUUAUGGUUGUAAAGCACUUUAAGCGAGGAGGGGGCUCUUUUGGUUAAUACCCAAGAUGAGUGGACGUUACUCGCAGAAUAAGCACCGGCUAACUCUGUGCCAGCAGCCGCGGUAA
rnacentral:rRNA from 1 species